GCCUGGUUAGCUUAGUUGGUAGUGCGUCUGCCUUGUAAGCGCUAGGCCGCGGGUUUGAUUCCCGCCCGGGGCG
rnacentral:tRNA from 1 species